UACGGGGGGGGCAAGCGUUGUUCGGAAUUACUGGGCGUAAAGCGCACGUAGGCGGCUUUGUAAGUCAGAGGUGAAAGCCCGGGGCUCAACCCCGGAAUUGCCUUUGAGACUGCAUCGCUUGAAGAUGAGAGAGGUGAGUGGAAUUCCGAGUGUAGAGGUGAAAUUCGUAGAUAUUCGGAAGAACACCAGUGGCGAAGGCGGCUCACUGGCUCAUACUUGACGCUGAGGUGCGAAAGCGUGGGGAGCAAACAGG
rnacentral:rRNA from 1 species